rnacentral:rRNA from 1 species
AGAUUGAACGCUGGCGGCAGGCCUAACACAUGCAAGUCGAGCGGUAGAGAGGUGCUUGCACCUCUUGAGAGCGGCGGACGGGUGAGUAAUGCCUAGGAAUCUGCCUAGUGGUGGGGGAUAACGUUCGGAAACGGACGCUAAUACCGCAUACGUCCUACGGGAGAAAGCGGGGGACCUUCGGGCCUCGCGCCAUUAGAUGAGCCUAGGUCGGAUUAGCUAGUUGGUGAGGUAAUGGCUCACCAAGGCGACGAUCCGUAACUGGUCUGAGAGGAUGAUCAGUCACACUGGAACGUGACGACACGGUCCAGACUCCGUACGGAGGCAGCGAGUAGGGGAAUACUUGGACAAGUGGGCGAAAGCCUAGAUCCAAGCCAGUCGCCGACGUGUGUGAAGUAGGUCGUUACGGUAUUAGUAAAGCGUACGUUUAAGGUU